rnacentral:misc_RNA from 1 species
CCACCAGAGGAGUCAAAAAUUAUGACUCUUGAUCUCCUUAAAAAUAUGGACUUGAAUGAUCCUCAAAAUGAAAAGUCUCGUGGGCAGCUAGAGGUGGAACUAACAUAUAAACCAUUCAAGGAGGAGGAUUUGCCCAGUGGUUUUGAAGAAGUCGAAUACAGUGCAGAAGGCUCCUGAUGGAACCCCUGCUGGUGGAGGUCUGCUUGUAGUGAUUGUUCAUGAGGCUCAGGAUGUUGAAGGAAAGCAUCAUACUAAUCCACAUGUACGGCUUCUCUUUAGAGGGGAGGAGAGGAAAACUAAGUAUUUGAAGAAGAACCGAGAUCCGAGAUGGGAGGAGGAGUUCCAUUUUAUGUUGGAUGAGCCUCCCACUAAUGAUAAGCUACAUGUGGAAGUUGUCAGCACUUCAUCAAGAAUGGGCUUGUUGCAUCCUAAGGAGUCUCUGGGUUAUGUGGACAUCAGUCUUGCGGAUGUUGUUAGCAAUAAAAGAAUCAAUGAGAAGUACCAUCUUAUAGACUCCAAGAAUGGCCGGAUUCAAAUUGAGAUGCAGUGGAGAACAGCGUCAUGAGCUUAUCGAGUUUUUUUUUUUCAUGAAUCUUUUCUUUCAUUUGGAUUGUGAUUUUAGGCAGCACGUUAUAGGAAUACUCGUCUGUUGUUUUUGCUCUAACAAUCCAAUUCUUUUCGUUGCUUCUGUAGAUGAUUGCAACAAAUAAUGGGGAAAAAAAAC